CACGAUCUGUUGAAAUUCUACAAAAAGAUCUGCCAACUGUCCUUAACGUUGAUUACAUCCAAUUAUAGUAAUUAAUUAAUACCACGACCACCAGCUAGCAGAUGUUAUACUGUGUCAUGAUCUGGUGCUAUAAACAGCGCGCGCUGCCACCCGUCUAAUUCCUUGGCACGAAUGGAAUUUUGACCACAGAGUGACUACCUCGUUAGCAUGUAGAGAAUGAGUGAUGAGUAAUUGAAAAAUGGGCAGCGACACAGCAGACAUGCCUAAAGAAAUUAGACCUUAUCGGACUGCACAUACCAU
rnacentral:lncRNA from 1 species